rnacentral:rRNA from 1 species
AGAGUUUGAUCCUGGCUCAGAACGAACGCUGGCGGCAGGCCUAACACAUGCAAGUCGAGCGCGCCUUCGGGCGAGCGGCGGACGGGUUAGUAACGCGUGGGAACGUGCCCAGAUCUACGGAAUAGCCACUGGAAACGGUGAGUAAUACCGUAUACGCCCUUCGGGGGAAAGAUUUAUCGGAUUUGGAUCGGCCCGCGUUAGAUUAGGUAGUUGGUGGGGUAACGGCCUACCAAGCCUACGAUCUAUAGCUGGUUUUAGAGGAUGAUCAGCAACACUGGGACUGAGACACGGCCCAGACUCCUACGGGAGGCAGCAGUGGGGAAUCUUGGACAAUGGGGGCAACCCUGAUCCAGCCAUGCCGCGUGAGUGAAGAAGGCCCUAGGGUCGUAAAACUCUUUCGCCUGUGAUGAUAAUGACAGUAGCAGGUAAAGAAACCCCGGCUAACUCCGUGCCAGCAGCCGCGGUAAUACGGAGGGGGUUAGCGUUGUUCGGAAUUACUGGGCGUAAAGCGCACGUAGGCGGAUUAGAAAGUUAGAGGUGAAAUCCCGGGGCUCAACCCCGGAACUGCCUUUAAAACUACUAGUCUAGAGUUCGAGAGAGGUGAGUGGAAUUCCGAGUGUAGAGGUGAAAUUCGUAGAUAUUCGGAGGAACACCAGUGGCGAAGGCGGCUCACUGGCUCGAUACUGACGCUGAGGUGCGAAAGUGUGGGGAGCAAACAGGAUUAGAUACCCUGGUAGUCCGCACCGUAAACGAUGAAUGCCAGUCGUCGGGUAGUAUACUAUUCGGUGACACACCUAACGGAUUAAGCAUUCCGCCUGGGGAGUACGGUCGCAAGAUUAAAACUCAAAGGAAUUGACGG